rnacentral:rRNA from 1 species
UACGUAGGGAGCAAGCGUUGUUCGGAUUUACUGGGCGUAAAGGGCUGCGUAAGGCGGCAUAUUAAGUCAUCUGUGAAAUCUCCGAGCGUUAACUCGGAACUGUCAGCUGAUACUGAUGUGCUAGAGUGCGGAAGGGGCAAUCGGAAUUCUUGGUGUAGCGGUGAAAUGCGUAGAUAUCGGGAGGAACACCAGUGGCGAAGGCGGCGAUCUGGGAACAUACUGACGCUGAGGUGCGAAAGCGUGGGGAGCAAACAGG